CUCCCACUUCCCACUUUGGUCAAUUAUUUUGUAGCGACAGAGAAACAAAAUGGAAAGGAAGCCUAGUAUUGUAAUACUACUCCAUCUUAUUCUAUUAAUGGUUCUUCUUGUUUCAACCCACGCAAGUAUAGCAGAGCCUCCAGCACCUUAGGCUCAACCUCCCAAUACUUUUCCUAUGUAUGGUAUCACUCCUGGUAGCCUCCAUCCUCAAGAGUGUGGAGCGAGGUGUAUGUACAGAUGUUCAAAGACAGCAUUCAAGAAACCAUGCAUGUUUUUCUGUCAAAAAUGCUGUGCGAAGUGCCUUUGUGUGCCUCCAGGAACCUAUGGAAACAAGCAAUUUUGCCCUUGCUACAAUAACUGGAAGACCAAGAGAGGAGGCCCUAAAUGUCCUUAAUUAAUUUUCCUCCUAAUUAAGUUCCUAAAUGGGUGUGUGCAUUCCUUAAUGUAGUCAUAAAUUCUGUUAGCCCAACAUGAUUGAAAGUCAUUAUCGAAAUGAAAUCAGUCAAUAUGGAUUAUGGACCAGUGCUGAACAUAACAUUGCGUUAAGUUUGGGUUUGGUCUUACCACUGUUCAUGUACGAAUUCAGCAUUUAAACUUUGUGGAUUCAACCUAUGUUUUCUAUGUUUACCUA